rnacentral:rRNA from 1 species
UGGUGGGAUACUACCCUAGCUGUGUUGGCUUUCUAACCCGCACCACUUAUCGUGGUGGGAGACAGUGUCAGGCGGGCAGUUUGACUGGGGCGGUCGCCCCCUAAAAGGUAACGGAGGCGCUCAAAGGGUCCCUCAGAAUGGUUGGAAAUCAUUCAUAGAGUGUAAAGGCAUAAGGGAGCUUGACUGCGAGACCUACAAGUCGAGCAGGGUCGAAAGACGGACUUAG